rnacentral:rRNA from 1 species
GAUGAACGCUGGCGGCGUGCCUAAUACAUGCAAGUCGAGCGGACAGACGAGGAGCUUGCUUCUCGGAUGUUAGCGGCGGACGUGUGAGUAACACGUGUAUAACCUACCUAUAAUACUGGUAUAACUUCGGGAAACCGUAGCUAAUACCGGAUAAUAUUUUGAACCACAUUGUUCAAAAGUGAAAUACGGUCUUGCUGUCACUUAUAGAUGGAUCCGCGCUUCAUUAGCUAGUUGGUAAGGUAACGGUUUACAAAGGCAACGAUGCAUAGCCGACCUGAGAGGGUGAUCGGCCACACUGGAACUGAGACACGGACAAGACUACUACGGGAGGCAGCAGUAGGGAAUCUUCCGCAAUGGGCGAAAGCAUGACGGAGUAACGCAGAGUGAGUGAUGAAGGUCUUAGGAGCGUAAAAAUCUGCUAUUAGGGAAGAACAUAUGUGUAAGUAACUGUGCACAUCUUGACGGUAACUAAUAAGAAAGCCACGGCUAACUACGUG